rnacentral:rRNA from 1 species
GAACGGGUGAGUAACACGUGGGUAACCUGCCCAUCAGAGGGGGAUAACACUUGGAAACAGGUGCUAAUACCGCAUAACGCUUUUUCUCGCAUGAGAGAAAGCUGAAAGGCGCUUUUGCGUCACUGAUGGAUGGACCCGCGGUGCAUUAGCUAGUUGGUGAGGUAACGGCUCACCAAGGCAACGAUGCAUAGCCGACCUGAGAGGGUGAUCGGCCACACUGGGACUGAGACACGGCCCAGACUCCUACGGGAGGCAGCAGUAGGGAAUCUUCGGCAAUGGACGAAAGUCUGACCGAGCAACGCCGCGUGAGUGAAGAAGGUUUUCGGAUCGUAAAACUCUGUUGUUAGAGAAGAACAAGGAUGAGAAGAGAAUGUUCAUCCCUUGACGGUAUCUAACCAGAAAACCACGGCUAACUACGUGCCAGCAGCCGCGGUAAUACGUAGGUGGCAAGCGUUGUCCGGAUUUAUUGGGCGUAAAGCGAGCGCAGGCGGUUUCUUAAGUCUGAUGUGAAAGCCCCCGGCUCAACCGGGGAGGGUCAUUGGAAACUGGGAGACUUGAGUGCAGAAGAGGAGAGUGGAAUUCCAUGUGUAGCGGUGAAAUGCGUAGAUAUAUGGAGGAACACCAGUGGCGAAGGCGGCUCUCUGGUCUGUAACUGACGCUGAGGCUCGAAAGCGUGGGGAGCGAACAGGAUUAGAUACCCUGGUAGUCCACGCCGUAAACGAUGAGUGCUAAGUGUUGGAGGGUUUCCGCCCUUCAGUGCUGCAG